GUCUUUUUGAUUAUAAUUUAAAGUCUGACCUGCCCUAUGAAUUAUUUUUAAAUGGCUGCGGUAUUUUGACCGUACAAAGGUAGCAUAAUAAUUAGUUUUUUAAUUGGGAACUGGUAUGAAUGGUCGAACGAGAAAAAGACUGUCUCAAUUUAAGUUUAAUUAGAAUUUUAUAUUUAAGUUAAAAAGCUUAAAUAAAUUUAAAAGACGAGAAGACCCUAUAGAGUUUUAUAUAAUUUUGGUUGUUUAAAAGUUUAAGAAUAGUAAAUUUAAAUAAUUAUGUUUAUAUUUGGUUGGGGCGAUUAAAAAAUUUAAAUAACUUUUUUUAUUUAAUUACAUUGAUAUAUGUUUAAAUGAUCCAUAUUUUAUGAUUAUAAGAUUAAAUUACCUUAGGGAUAACAGCGUAAUUUUUUUUUAGAGUUCUUAUCGAAAAAAAAGUUUGCGACCUCGAUGUUGGAUUAAAAUAAACUUUUGGUGUAGAAGCUAAAAAGUUGGGUCUGUUCGACCUUUAAAAUUUUACA
rnacentral:rRNA from 1 species